GAUGAACGCUGGCGGCGUGCCUAAUACAUGCAAGUCGAGCGAACAGACGAGGAGCUUGCUCCUCUGACGUUAGCGGCGGACGGGUGAGUAACGCGUGGAUAACCUACCUAUAAGACUGGGAUAACUUCGGGAAACCGGAGCUAAUACCGGAUAAUAUAUUGAACCGCAUGGUUCAAUAGUGAAAGACGGUUUUGCUGUCACUUAUAGAUGGAUCCGCGCCGCAUUAGCUAGUUGGUAAGGUAACGGCUUACCAAGGCAACGAUGCGUAGCCGACCUGAGAGGGUGAUCGGCCACGCUGGAACUGAGACACGGUCCAGACUCCUACGGGAGGCAGCAGUAGGGAAUCUUCCGCAAUGGGCGAAAGCCUGACGGAGCAACGCCGCGUGAGUGAUGAAGGUCUUCGGAUCGUAAAACUCUGUUAUUAGGGAAGAACAAAUGUGUAAGUAACUAUGCACGUCUUGACGGUACCUAAUCAGAAAGCCACGGCUAACUACGUG
rnacentral:rRNA from 1 species